AUUCUUAUAUGGCAGGGGUAGUGUCAUGAUCAUGAAAGUGGUUUUCCCAGGGCCAAGGCUCAUCUAUUGCACUCCAGAUGUGCCAACCCCCUGAGAUUUCACCAAAUGUGGGAAACUUGAUUGCAUAAUUUAUGGUGGUGAUGAACUGUGUUCUCUCUUUCUCCAG
rnacentral:snRNA from 1 species